UACCACUGGCAAUGAACAAAGUAACACCUUGUUGGUGUUGCUGUUCUUAUGUCAUUCAGGGUCAGAGCAAACUGCAGUACUUCAUUCAUCCUAGUUUGAUAUCUGGCAUGGUGGCCAAAGCUGUCAUCUGCCUAGGACUCAUAA